GAUGUCCUUAUAGGGCUGGGUUCCUUAUAGGGUCAUUCUCCUUAUAGGGUCGGUCUCCCUAUGGGGUCAGGCUCCUUAUAGGGUCAGAGCGCUUAUAGGGUCAGCCCAUUAAUAGGGUUUUUCUGCCCUAUAGUGGCUGCAGUCGGAGAUGUCCUUAUAGGGUUGGGUUCCUUAUAGGGUCACAGUCCUUAUAGGGUCGGUCUCCCUAUGGGGUCAGGCUCCUUAUAGGGUCAGAGCGCUUAUAGGGUCAGGCCAAUUAAUGGGGUUUUUCCGCCCUAUAGUGGCUGCAGUCGGAGAUGUCCUUAUAGGGUCAGUCCUCCUAUAGGCUUAGUCUCCCUAUAGGGUCACUCUCCCUAUGGGGUCAGGCUCCUUAUAGGGUCAGAGCGCUUAUAGGGUCAGCCCAUUUAUAGGGUUUUU
ensembl:lncRNA